rnacentral:tRNA from 1 species
GGUUCCAUGUCCAAGCACGUCUGCUUUACAUGCAGAAGGUCCUGGGUUCACGUCCCAGUGGAGCCA